rnacentral:rRNA from 1 species
CCUACGGGGUGCAGCAGUGGGGAAUAUUGGACAAUGGGCGAAAGCCUGAUCCAGCCAUGCCGCGUGUGUGAAGAAGGCCUUCGGGUUGUAAAGCACUUUCAGUGGGGAAGAAAGCCUUGGGGCUAAUACCCUCGAGGAAGGACAUCACCCACAGAAGAAGCACCGGCUAACUCCGUGCCAGCAGCCGCGGUAAUACGGAGGGUGCGAGCGUUAAUCGGAAUUACUGGGCGUAAAGCGCGCGUAGGCGGUCUGAUAAGCCGGUUGUGAAAGCCCCGGGCUCAACCUGGGAACGGCAUCCGGAACUGUCAGGCUAGAGUGCAGGAGAGGAAGGUAGAAUUCCCGGUGGAGCGGUGAAAUGCGUAGAGAUCGGGAGGAAUACCAGUGGCGAAGGCGGCCUUCUGGACUGACACUGACGCUGAGGUGCGAAAGCGUGGGUAGCAAACAGGAUUAGAUACCCUGGUAGUC